rnacentral:tRNA from 1 species
UCCCCCGUGGUGUAGCAGACGGCAUGCGACGCUACGAACGUCGAGGUCAGGGUGCGACUCCCUGCGGGGGGGCCA